rnacentral:lncRNA from 1 species
AUGAAAGAAAAGGAAGGAAGGAAGGAAGGAAGGAAGGAAGGAAGGAAGGAAGGAAGGAAGGAAGGAAGCAGAGGGAGGAAGGAAGGAAGGGAGAGAGGAAGGGAGGGAAGGAGGGAGGGAUGGAGGGAUGGAGGCAGGGAGGAAGGCAAGGAGGGAGGGAGUAGAGGGAGGGAGGAAAAGACUUUGCAGAACCACCCAAACCUGUUUGCAUUCCAGCAGGUGGGUCUGAGCCCCCUUAUGGCUUUGGGGCCAGGAGGCUGGGUCUUCCCUCCCAGGGCCCGGGCGGCAGGAGUGUGCACCACUCACUCUCCCACACUGUCCUUCCCCAGAGCUGCGGGACCCCAGGUGACCGCUUCCCCCCAGCAGGGCAGGCAGGCAAGACUUCUCCAGUCCCACAUGCUGAGUGCAUGUCCCAGCAAGGACACCCAUUUCACAGAUGAGGAGACUGAGGCUCAGGUGGGGACUGGAGCCCAGGCACGGCGGGAACCUAGGCCUGAGCCGCCUCCGGGACCGAACCAGGCAGUUCUGGGGCUGCCGCAGGCCCUUCCACACCAGCCUCCGUGGCCUGGCCUUCUUGUUGGAGGAAGAGUGGCAGGCCCACCCCUGUGCCCCUGGCCCGCUGGGCAGCCCUCCAGCCCUCCCGUGCUUCCCCUAGCCAACGGGGCCGCGUCCUCCCCGCCAACCUCCACAUUCUCUGCCACUGGCUCCUGGGCCCAAAGGCCGCGGCUCCAGUCAGCCCUCACCCCGCCUGACUGCUGUCGCCCGACUGGCUUCCCGCCUCCGCCUCUUCACCCUCCCCCUCCUCAGGACUUCUGUCCAAACUCCCCGCUCGGGAGGCCUUUCCAACCCCGGCCAGCUCCUCCCACCGCUCCCCUCGGGGCUCCAGCCCACUUUCACGGUCCACACCAGUGCUGCCUUUCCCCUCCCAGGCCUGGGCUCACACCUGGUCCCUCGGUUAGGAACCCGGCACCUCCACCUGGAGAAAACCCACGACUUCAGGUCCCUCCCUUCCUCCUGGGACCUGCCCUGAUCACCUGGCCACAUAGUGCCUCUCUGUGGCCCUGGGGUACCCGCACCCAGGCCACCACAGACUCGGAAUUUGCCUUUCGCCUCCUCCAACCUCUGAAUCCCGGAGGGCACGUCCCUCCCUGGAGCCUCGCUGAUGGCACGGUGUGUGCCCUCUGCUGGUCCAAAUCCUGA